rnacentral:tRNA from 1 species
GGAGGGUAUAGCUCAGUGGUAGAGUGCAUGCAUGGCAUGCAUGAGGUCCUGGGUUCAAUUCCCAGUACCUCCA